UUUUUAGCAUAAGUAUGUCCCACACAAUAUCUGGGACAUACUUAUGUUGAAA
rnacentral:pre_miRNA from 1 species